AUGAGGAGACGCCUGCCGUGGCGGACGCGGAGACAACAGCCAUGGGCGUGGAAGACGGUUUUGGAUCCUGUGAGCCGCCGCCGCUGCCGCACAGAAAGUCAACGCGGGCCUUCUGCUGCUCCAUGUCCAACAAGUCGCCCACGAGGCGUCAGUGUGGCAUUGCUAGCUCCAGCUCCCCCCUGCAAUCGUCUCUGCCGCCGGCACUUGCACGCAAUCGUGCUGGUUUCUGUAGUUCAAGAUCAAAGGCAAGAAUCAGCCAAAUAUGAUGAUGAGAACAAGGCUAAUGAUGGAGAACCUUCAUCUAUCGAAGCUGAGCAGUCUAUUGGGAAUACUAAGUUUCAAUGCGCAUCCUAA
rnacentral:rRNA from 1 species